ensembl:lncRNA
GGGCUUUCUGGCGACUGGCAGUCGCUGAAUUGGAGCGCUUGGGGAGGAAGUGUCAGAGAAGAAUGAUUCUCAUCACUGAAGGAGAAUAUUCUGAUGAAAUGGCACUGCGAGCUGACUUAUAUGGAGGUUGGCUCCGCCCCUUCUGACGGGCUAAAGCUCCAUUGGUUUGUGCAGCUACACAAAUGUGAACAAUUCAGGCUUCAGUACAGAGUAAAACAGGAGUUUUCCCCAUACACAACGUGAUAAAACGUUUGAAAAGGGAACUAAUAAUAUGCACUGUUACAGUGUACACAACAUGAGAAAUCCUUUGAAAGGGAACUAAUAAUAUGCACUGUUACAGUGUAAACAUUCAGAACAGUUUUGUCCCAUUUUGUUCCAUUUUUUAAUUUUAUUUUAAGUUGCGAUAUAUUUUAAAUGACGCACUGCAUGAACUGUUGUGUGUAUAUAAUGUGUAUGUGUUUGAGGAGGGAGUGGUGCAGCUGGCACAGGUGGGUCAGGCAGUACCUGACUUCUCUCACCAUACCACAUUCCACACAUACUCUUCUUACACACCAACAAGGAAAACAAUAAACAUUAGUGUUACAUGAAUUAAACCUGCUGGACAGACUGGUACAGCUAGAAAAUCCAGUAUUCAGUCUCCAUGGCAUGGGCUGAGGAACGCAAACACUUCCCACAGGACGUCCGUGAGGAUACAUGCCUCAGCUGAGCGCGGGAUAUGUGUGGAGCUGCUGGGAGUGGAGCAGGACUCAGGGCCGAGGAGGAGGGCAUGGAGCAGUGGAGGAGAAACAGAUGAUCAGCCGAGAGCUGGAGGAGAGAGGUGGGCGAGAGUGGACAUGGAUGAGACUGCAUUGGAGAAACUGGCCGAGAUGGAGUCCGUGUCUGGCUCUGAUGUGCUUGGUUCUUCUGGCGGAGUCUCCUCUGCACCCCUCUGUCAGUCUGACUGAAGCCGCGGGUCGACUGCUCCUCGCUGGGCUGGUGUGUGCUGCUAUGGGCCUCUAUGCUCUAGCUUUCCAGUUCCCGCUCCGUUAUGAACAGAAAGUAAAGCAGCAUCUCCCAUGCAAUGGUGAAGUGAUAGUGAGACAAACUGCUGAAAACCAGCUAGCCAGCAUAAGUCCACAGCAGGACGCAGGUCAUCUUGAAUCCCAGGUCAGUGCUCUAGCGGAGGGUUUAGCGGUGUCCCUCCUGCAAGAGCCCCUGCCGGACCCCAGCGAGCCACACAUACGAGGCCUCCUCACCAGACUAGAGGCAGUGUCUCGGACUCUCCACAGGAAGAGUUAUGAGGAAGAAACCGAGGAAAAGGAGAAAUGUGCUAUUCAAGAUAUACGCUCUUACCUGAGGGACAGGGUGAGCGGUCUGCGCUCUCUGCUGCAGGUUCAGCGUGAGUGUGACGCGAGUGUGUGUGCGGUUCAGAGCGGGUUACAGAAGCGCUGGGCUCUGCUGGAGGAGUUACACACACGAGUGACUCUGAGGCCUGACAGCACCCAGGAAGCACAGGACCCUCACACCGUCCUCACAGACACUGAGAGCCUGUUCAGUGAGCUCGGUCAGUUCAAAAGCAAAGUCCAACAGUGCCGGACACAGCUGGAAACCAAUAUAAACCUUUUACAGGGACUUCGCAGCAGUCAUCAGCAUCUCAACGCGACUUUUGGUGCCACCACUGACUCUGUAUGGACCAAAGAGUUAUUACAGUCCAACACUGAUCUGUUUUCUGAGAUCCAUGAGGAUUUCAUGUCUUUGGAACAGCAGACAUCAAAUUUUGUGAUCCACUUGAGAGGCCUGAAGGCUUCUGAGGAGGAAAAGACAAAGUUAUCUGUGAAUCAGUCUCGACUGUCUCUUCCCGCUGUCCCUGUGUACGUUGCUGCUCAGGAAGCAUCGCAAAUACAUUCUGACCCAGAAAGUGACUCGGAGUCCCCAGGAGCCUCACAGAAGACCCACUCCAGAAUGUCGCCCUUCCAUAUGCUCUGUGGGGCGAGGAGGAGGAGGUCAUCGCCAUAGUUUUGACAAAAGCUGGAUGUUUUAACAGGACAUUUUAUUAAUGCCCGCCUGUUGAGCAGGUGUAACGGCAGUUUAUGCACUUUAUUCAGAGUUAUAAUAACUGGAACCGCUAUAUAGUGUCUAUACUGUGACUUGUGAUUUUCUACAUGUGAAAUGUGUAAAUAAGAUCUCAUGCAUAAUGAAUACAACAACAAUAAUAAUAUAUUACAUUAAAUAUAGUAUUGAUGGUUUUUAUUGAAAUUAAUAUUAGUAAUAUAUAAUAGAAUAAUAGAAAAGUUUGCUGUCAGAAGAUUUAUUUGAAAAUAAUGUAAAAACAGUAAUAUUGUAAAAUAUUACUUUUUAGAAGUAUAUUUUUUUUCAGUCACAUGAUCCUUCAGAAAUCAUUCUAACCUGCUGAUAUUGUGUUAUAAAAACACUAUCUUAUUAUUAUAUCAUCAAAAAUAAUAAUACUAGUAACUCUAGUCAAUAGUCAAUCACCUCAUAUGAUGAAAUCCUUGUAUUGUGACUGUGCUGUGACUUGUGAUGUUCUGCUUGUAAACUGUGUAAAUAAGAUCUUUCCUGAAUCUUAAUCAUCUUAAGCGCACAUUAAACGGACAAUUAACUGAAACAAACAGUAAAUACGGUAGUAGCCAUGGAGAGGUUUUUGUCUCUAUGGUCAUGCCAUGUUUGAGCACAAGAGGGCACAAUCCAAUCAAAAAUAAACAGCCAACUCCUUCACCA